rnacentral:rRNA from 1 species
CAAUAGCGUAUAUUAAAGUUGUUGCAGUUAAAAAGCUCGUAGUUGGAUUUCUGGUGGGAGCGAUCGGUCUGGCGCUUAGCGCGAGUACUUGCAUCGUCUCCGGCCAUCCUUGGGGAGAGUCUGUCUGGCAUUAAGUUGUCGGGCAGAGGAUCCUCAUCGUUUACUGUGAAAAAAUUAGAGUGUUCAAAGCAGGCUUAUGCCGUUGAAUAUAUUAGCAUGGAAUAAUAAGAUAGGACUUUGGUACUAUUUUGUCGGUUUGCGCACCAAAGUAAUGAUUAAUAGGGACAGUUGGGGGUAUUCGUAUUCCGUUGUCAGAGGUGAAAUUCUUGGAUUUACGGAAGACGAACUACUGCGAAAGCAUUUACCAAGGAUGUUUUCAUUAA